rnacentral:rRNA from 1 species
UACGUAGGGGGCAAGCGUUGUCCGGAAUCAUUGGGCGUAAAGCGCGUGUAGGCGGCUCGGUAAGUCCGCUCUGAAAGUCCAAGGCUCAACCUUGGGAUGCGGGUGGAUACUGCCGGGCUCGAGUCCGGAAGAGGCGAGUGGAAUUCCUGGUGUAGCGGUGAAAUGCGCAGAUAUCAGGAGGAACACCAAUGGCGAAGGCAGAUCUCUGGGCCGUAACUGACGCUGAGGAGCGAAAGCAUGGGGAGCGAACAGG